AGUUUGAUCCUGGCUCAGGAUGAACGCUGGCGGCGUGCCUAAUACAUGCAAGUCGAGCGAAAUGACGAGGAGCUUGCUCCUCUGAUUUAGCGGCGGACGGGUGAGUAACACGUGGGUAACCUGCCUGUAAGACGGGGAUAACUCCGGGAAACCGGGGCUAAUACCGGAUAAUAAAAGAAGAAGCAUUUCUCUUUUUUGAACGUUGGUUUCGGCUAACACUUACAGAUGGGCCCGCGGCGCAUUAGCUAGUUGGUGAGGUAAUGGCUCACCAAGGCGACGAUGCGUAGCCGACCUGAGAGGGUGAUCGGCCACACUGGGACUGAGACACAGCCCAGACUCCUACGGGAGGCAGCAGUAGGGAAUCUUCGGCAAUGGGCGAAAGCCUGACCGAGCAACGCCGCGUGAGCGAUGAAGGCCUUCGGGUCGUAAAGCUCUGUUGUUAGAGAAGAACAAGUACGAGAGUAACUGCUCGUACCUUGACGGUACCUAACCAGAAAGCCACGGCUAACUACGUG
rnacentral:rRNA from 1 species